UCCGGNAUCGCCCUUAUGGGGAAAGGUUUACUGCCGAAGGAUCGGCCCGCGUCUGAUUAGACUUGUUGGUGGGGUAACGGCCUACCAAGGCGACGAUCAGUAGCUGGUCUGAGAGGAUGAUCAGCCACACUGGGACUGAGACACGGCCCAGACUCCUACGGGAGGCAGCAGUGGGGAAUAUUGGACAAUGGGCGCAAGCCUGAUCCAGCCAUGCCGCGUGAGUGAUGAAGGCCUUAGGGUUGUAAAGCUCUUUUGUCCGGGACGAUAAUGACGGUACCGGAAGAAUAAGCCCCGGCUAACUUCGUGCCANCAGCCGCGGUAAUACGAAGGGGGCUAGCGUUGCUCGGAAUCACUGGGCGUA
rnacentral:rRNA from 1 species